GGGUAAACUGGCUGGCAAAUUUAUCAUUUCCCUAAGGGCUAGGGCUGAUUUAGUGGAGCUGGCUGGCUGAGUUGGUGUCCCCUCCUGCUCCCCGUGUAUCUUUUCCCUAAAGGUGCAAGCUCAGUCAAAUAGAAUGAGUAACCUUUCCAGAGACAGGAUGGAUGGUCAAGCUUCAAUCAAGGGAUUACCUGUUUCAGUUCCCCUGACUUAACUGUAAGACCUGCAGCAUUUAUCAACAGAGGAAUCUUCUCUUCUCU
rnacentral:sRNA from 1 species